AUGUAGCAUGACACAUAAAAAGGACCGAGCUCACAGAAGGAACGUAUUUCUACCUGCUACAUUAUCCACAUUUUGAACGACAAUGGACAGAACCAGCUACUUUUAUGAACAGCAGCUUGAAUGCACCUGCUGCACGGAGGAUCGCCAGGACCAAAAGGUUUCUCUAGCUUUCAACACUUAAACCAGCCCUAACCACCGGCCCACCUCAGAUAGCUCCCCCACCCAGCCUCUGUGGCCACAGUUGGCAUGGGGGCAUCAGUUCUUCAGGCAGAAACUGGCUUCCAG